GCCGGAGUGGCAGAGUGGUUAAUGCGCUCGUCUCGAAAGCGAGUGCCCGCAAGGGCGUCCAGGUUCGAGUCCUGGCUCCGGCG
rnacentral:tRNA from 1 species